UAUAUUUUAGUAUAAGACGUACAUUGAUUUUUGAUAUCAAAAUAAAUAGUUUAAUUCUAUUAAAUAUAA
rnacentral:tRNA from 1 species